CUUCAGUUCUCUGUAGUUGGCGAGGUCUACGUCUGUGAUGUUCUCCAGGUUGGUUUGACUCUCUAUGUAGCUAGAGGGUUGAAAUUAAAGAACGGGUUAAAAUACAACUAAAAUAAUGCUGCGUAUGAUACAGCGUUCUGAGCAUUGCUAUGGGUUGCUAGGGAUUGUUUCUAGGGUAACCUUAGCAGGCACCUCUAGUGAUAAUAAGACUCUGUGUCAUCAAUUCAAAUCGGAAAGUUCCUGAUGCAUUUCAUUGGUGCACUUUAUUUUGUUUGCAUGACAAAAAUGCAAUAACUUGCUUCAUCUCUUAAACCUUUUCAGAUGAUGUCACGAAUCCAUCUUACUUUCCUCUCCAAAUAUUGGACUCCAUUCUGAGAACCUUAAAAGCCAGAUCCUGAAAUGAUCUCAAAAAACAUGGACUACUCUUCAGCAUAAUACAUGAUGAUGUACAGUUCAUUAAAAACAGUCUUUCCAGCAUCUGUGACCAAUAUGCAGAUUUGGGCAGUGCACAUUGUGACCCAAACAAAGACUAUCAAGCAGUGAUGAAAGAGGUAUGAUGACAGAAGGGGAGAGUAGUGACCGGACUGCAGGUUACUCAAUCCACAUCAAACUAAUGUCCUGCCACAGAGUGAGACCAGUGCGAAGUGGACCGGAGUAAAAGCACUUCUGGAACUGGGUGUGGCCAUCUCUGCCUCAUCUUCCCCUCACAUCAUCUCUCUACCAGGAAGCAAACCCCAUCAACACCCAAAUCACAGCGAUCAGAGCAGCAGUGUUAGUGAGACUCGCUGGGGUAAACCUGGGAUCGAUUGGCUCGUGCUGCUGGGGGUUUUGGUAAUGUAACUGUAUCUAGGUUCUCUCAUUAGGGACAUGAGAAGCCCGUCUUCAUGCAGAUGAGCCGAAACUCGAGGAGCGCUUCGCCAAAGACUAAUGAACAUGCAGCAUCUCCUCUCCUACUCUCCAUUCUGACUCUGACUCGCACUUACAGUUGUUGUCUCCAUUUCUACCUCUUUCAUACAUAUUAGCUCACUCUUACCAUCUAAUCUCCA